rnacentral:rRNA from 1 species
GUCGAACGAACUUCCGUUAAUUGAUUAUGACGUGCUUGCACUGAAUGAGAUUUUAACACGAAGUGAGUGGCGGACGGGUGAGUAACACGUGGGUAACCUGCCCAGAAGCAGGGGAUAACACCUGGAAACAGAUGCUAAUACCGUAUAACAGAGAAAACCGCCUGGUUUUCUUUUAAAAGAUGGCUCUGCUAUCACUUCUGGAUGGACCCGCGGCGCAUUAGCUAGUUGGUGAGGUAACGGCUCACCAAGGCGAUGAUGCGUAGCCGACCUGAGAGGGUAAUCGGCCACAUUGGGACUGAGACACGGCCCAGACUCCUACGGGAGGCAGCAGUAGGGAAUCUUCCACAAUGGACGCAAGUCUGAUGGAGCAACGCCGCGUGAGUGAAGAAGGGUUUCGGCUCGUAAAGCUCUGUUGUUAAAGAAGAACGUGGGUGAGAGUAACUGUUCACCCAGUGACGGUAUUUAACCAGAAAGCCACGGCUAACUACGUGCCAGCAGCCGCGGUAAUACGUAGGUGGCAAGCGUUAUCCGGAUUUAUUGGGCGUAAAGCGAGCGCAGGCGGUCUUUUAAGUCUAAUGUGAAAGCCUUCGGCUCAACCGAAGAAGUGCAUUGGAAACUGGGAGACUUGAGUGCAGAAGAGGACAGUGGAACUCCAUGUGUAGCGGUGAAAUGCGUAGAUAUAUGGAAGAACACCAGUGGCGAAGGCGGCUGUCUGGUCUGUAACUGACGCUGAGCUCGAAAGCAUGGGUAGCGAACAGGAUUAGAUACCCUGGUAGUCCAUGCCGUAAACGAUGAUUACUAAGUGUUGGAGGGUUUCCGCCCUUCAGUGCUGCAGCUAACGCAUUAAGUAAUCCGCCUGGGGAGUACGACCGCAAG